UACGAAGGGGGCUAGCGUUGCUCGGAAUCACUGGGCGUAAAGCGCACGUAGGCGGAUCUUUAAGCCAGGGGUGAAAUCCUGGAGCUCAACUCCAGAACUGCCUUUGAUACUGGGGAUCUCGAGUCCGGAAGAGGUGAGUGGAAUUCCGGGUGUAGUGGUGGAAUACGUAGAUAUCCGGAGGAACACCAGCGGCGAAGGCGGCAUCCUGGACCGACACUGACGCUGAGGAGCGAAAGCCAGGGGAGCAAACGGG
rnacentral:rRNA from 1 species